AUAUAUAUAUAUAUAUAUAUAUAUAUAUAUAUAAAACCAACAGAGAUUAGCAUGUCCCUUGUGCAGGGAUGACAUGAAAACUCAUGAAGCAGUCCAUAUUUUU
ensembl:snRNA U6 U6 spliceosomal RNA